UCAACAGCCGCUGGAACAACUACUGCUGUCGUCCUCGCUGUCUUUCUCCUCUCUGUCUUCAUACUGACCAGAAAGAAGAGGGCUGCCAACCAAUCAUCUGAGCUCAGAGCGAGGCGUGACGACAGGAGACAGAGACAGCGGGACGACGGGCGGGACGACGGGCGGGACGACGGGCGGGACGACGGGCGGGACGACCUUCACUAUGCCAGUGUCCUGUUUUACAAGAACCGCGCAGAUUUUCUCUCCUCCUUCAUCAGACCAGCUCAGCCUCGCAGACACAAGAAGGACGAGAGUGUUGUUUACGCUGAGGUCACAUUCAAGAGAUGUCAGAGGUCAGCCGCGGAGGAUUCGGCGGCAGCAUUGUACAGCACAGUCAUCAAAACCAACUAAGCAAAGGGAAUCUCCAGCUUUUCAUGUAAGUACUUUUAUUUAAGCAUAUAACAGUUUUCAUAUAAUUCUUUCACAGAAUACAGCUUUAAGACAACAUUACAUUAAUAAACUGUUUAAUUACGUGUGGACAAAUUGGAGUCUUUGAAGAAUAUUUUAAAGGCACAGGUCACCCCAAAAACAAAUGCACAUAUUUUUCCUCUCACCUGCAGUGCUAUUUGUCAAUCAAAAACUGUUCUGGUGUGAGAUGCAAAGUGUUGGGGAUGUCUGCCUUCUGAUGAUAAUACUAGAUGGCACUCGAAGUGCCAAAAAAUACAUUUAAAAGUUCAAAAGCAAUGUCUCUUUACAGAAAUCAUGAGCCGGUUACUCAAAAUAAUCCACAUUCCUUGUUUUGAUAAGUUUCAUACAGGAACUAUUUUCUUUCUACCAAACUACUGUAUAUCCACCAAAUGUGUCACUGUGCAGAAGGAAGGGUGCAUCGACUCACAGACAAGAGUGCGAGGUGAAAACAUUCGUGGUGUCCAAGCUGUAACUUGAGCUAGCUCAGUGGUGAUAGGUCAGCUUGUGAUAGAUGAGAGCAUCCUUCAGUGCGGUGAUGCUGUUGGCGGCUGGACUUCUACAUAAAGCUGCUAAUAACAG